rnacentral:misc_RNA from 1 species
GAUGAAGAACGUAGCGAAAUGCGAUAAGUAAUGUGAAUUGCAGAAUUCAGUGAAUCAUCGAAUCUUUGAACGCACAUUGCGCCCGCCAGUAUUCUGGCGGGCAUGCCUGUUCGAGCGUCAUUUCAACCCUCAGGCCCCCAGUGCCUGGUGUUGGGGAUCGGCCCAGCCUUCCUGUAAGGCCGCCGGCCCCGAAAUCUAGUGGCGGUCUCGCUGUAGUCCUCCUCUGCGUAGUAGCACAACCUCGCAGUUGGAACGCGGCGGUGGCCAUGCCGUUAAACACCCCACUUCUGAAAGUUGACCUCGGAUCAGGUAGGAAUACCCGCUGAACUUAAGCAUAUCAAUAAGCGGAGGAA